rnacentral:rRNA from 1 species
GAUGAACGCUAGCGACAGGCUUAACACAUGCAAGUCGAGGGGCAGCGAGGGAGUGCUUGCACUUCUGUCGGCGACCGGCGCACGGGUGAGUAACACGUAUGCAACCUGCCCUUGUCAGGGGGAUAAGCGAGGGAAACCUCGUCUAAUACCGCAUAUAUGGUUUUGAGGCAUCUCUUAAUCAGGAAAGAAUUAUCGGACAAGGAUGGGCAUGCGGGACAUUAGGUAGUUGGGGGGUGUAACGGACCACCAAGCCGACGAUGUCUAGGGGUUCUGAGAGGAAGGUCCCCCACACUGGUACUGAGACACGGACCAGACUCCUACGGGAGGCAGCAGUGAGGAAUAUUGGUCAAUGGUCUGACGACUGAACCAGCCAUGCCGCGUGAAGGUGACGGCCCUAUGGGUCUUAAACUUCUUUUGUAAGGGAGCAAUAAGGUGCACGUGUGCAUCGAUGAGAGUACCUUACGAAUAAGCAUCGGCUAACUCCGUGCCAG